ensembl:lncRNA LINC02064 long intergenic non-protein coding RNA 2064
GGCGUAGAAGAGGAAAGGCUGGGGGUUUCGGAUGGUUGUUUUUGAAGCCAUCAGUAUUCUUGAAGAAGCAGCAUAUCUUGAACUGUCCUAUGGGUGAAGGCUUUGAUGUGGUCCUGUAAAAACUGGCAUUGAAAUGGAUGGCAUCUGAUCCUGCUUCAUGUGAUUCUUCAUUUAGCUCUGGACUCUUUACAUCAUUAAGGUACCCUGAAUAUAUUCAGUAUGGCUUUUUCUUUGCAGGAAUUUAAAAGCAACCCUAUGAAUAUAACAUUUGUCAAAAAGAGCAAGUGCCAAGCCAGUUGAGAAUAACCUUACAAUGUGUACAAGGAUUCCAGGAUCUGACCAUUGUCCAGUUUCUUCGUGGUAUCACAAAGAAAAUGGCCUGGAAAAUCACACAAAAUAUAAUAUCCUAAUUUGCUUAGAAGGGUUGGGUCUAAUCUAUAUCAUGGGAUUCUUUUGGAUCAUCAUGCCAGCAGUGGAAGACUCAACAAACAAUUAAACGAUUAAAAUCAACAAACACUUAAAAUCAAAACUAACAACUAUAACAAAGUUCUGAGCUAGUCUGAGAUAGUUUAGUCUUCCAAUCAGUUGUAGGUGUGUGCAAUGAUUUGUGGCAAUAAGGAAGCAGACAGCAAAUAUUAAAUCUGAUGAUAAUCAGUCAUUAGAAUGACAUGAAGGCAGAAUACCAUAUGUACUUUGCAACUCCUCCCAUCAAAAAGUAGAAUCUAUCUCCUCAUCCUUUGAAUCAAGUCUGGCUUUGUUACUGGGUUUGAACUAUAGAAUAUAGCAUAAAUGACAGUGUCAGUUCUGAGCAUACAUUUCAAGAGGUCUUGCAGGUUUUGCUCUCAUUCUUUUACAGUUCUGCUGCUAUAUAAACCAGCCUCAAAUAGUCUGAGUCUGUGAUAUCACUGGGUCACCCCCAUCACUUCAGUAGAAGGCCUGCCACUGCCUGACAUGUGAAAGAGAGCAUCCAGGAUAAGCCACCUGUCAAACUGUCAACUUUAUGCAGAUAUACAAGUGACAGGUUUGAGAUCAGCCCAGCCCAGUCAACAGAGAAAUAUCCCAGUAGAAUCAUUAUAUAAUUAAAUAACAUUAAAAAAAAAAAAAAAAGAAAAA